UACAGAGGGUGCAAGCGUUAAUCGGAAUUACUGGGCGUAAAGCGUGCGUAGACGGUUAUGUAAGUCGGAUGUGAAAGCCCCGGGCUCAACCUGGGAAUUGCAUUCGAGACUGAAUAGCUAGGGUACGGUAGAGGGAAGUGGAAUUUCCGGUGUAGCGGUGAAAUGCGUAGAUAUCGGAAGGAACAUCAGUGGCGAAAGCGACUUCCUGGACCAGUACCGACGUUCAGGCACGAAAGCGUGGGGAGCAAACAGG
rnacentral:rRNA from 1 species